UCAAGAAUGUCUCGAGAUCCC
rnacentral:siRNA from 1 species